ACACAGGGAGACUUACCAGGUCUAGAGAUAGUGAGGAUCGACAGAUUGAA
rnacentral:rRNA from 1 species